GUUUCAUUUCCGAGCUGGAGACCUCCCCGCGUUCCAGGCCGGCUCCUAUCCCAGGUGGCACCUCUCCUCCAGCGUGGCAACCCCACCUCAACGAGCAUGUGCUUCCCUCUGUUUCCUCCGAUCAGCUGUCUCUUCUCCAUUCACGCACGCAAGCUCUCUUUUUUCACGAAUUUGAUUUAACAGGCUCUAUUUUUCGGGACUCUGCUUCCCCGCCGUUCAUCGAAGGUUAGGGAUUUUGCCAUAGACUCUCAAAUUGAAGCUCUCCAAUCAAUAAAUCAGCUACAUUCUUCUGGGCCCUUUAGUUCCAAACCUGUUUUCCUCUUCAUUCUUCUUCUUUUCCUUCAUUGUGUAUCCUGUCUUACACAAUUAUUGUAGGUUUUAAUGUCUAGGGUUUGUGGAUCUGCUAUUUUGCAAAUUGUGUAUCUAUUUUGGUGGGUUUCUGGGUUCAUAUUCUUCACUUCAUUCUUUGAAAGUUGCUGUUAAUUUGAUUAUGAUUUAUGAUUUGGGUUCAUCUUCUUCAUUUUCUUUUUUAUGUUAAUUUGAUUAUGGUUUCUCCUUUUUGCUAGCUGUUAAAUUGUUUGUUGCAUGUGAUUCGGGUUUCUCCUUUGUUGCUAGCUGUUAUAAAUUUUUAGGGUUUUCACUUCAUUCUUUGGAAUUUUCUGUUAAUUUGAUUAUGGUUUCUCCUUUUGCUAGCUGUUGCCACUCUCGCCUUCCUGCCUCGAUCUUCUCUGUGGGUGUUGUGAUCCCGAUUCUUCCAUCUCCACCGUGUGACUUGUCUUUCUGUCCUUUUUCUCGGUUUCUCUCUACAUGGUGUUGGUGUCACUCUGAAAUCCUGAUCUUCAACCCAGUUUUCUUUAUCCCCAUCCAGUUCGUGUUUCUGGAUCCUUUCUUGGAUUAUCCCAGUUUUCUCCAUUUGGGUACAUUGUGCAUCAAGAUGUUCGACUUCCAUCGACGUUUUCUGUCUCGAACGACCCCUCAGAACAGUAUUGGAAAGAAUAGUUGCACCUCAUCAAAAGCAUGACUAUGAUACAGUCUGUAAUCUGAAUCAGGAGCCGGGCUCUGGUAAUAUAUAUCAAAUGUUUCAGUGGCUUUUCUCGCUCAGCAAAGGUGAUAAAUAGCCCAGAGAUGAAUUUUAUUUUGUUUGCUAGGUAAGAAGCCUCCAUUGUUAACAUUUUUUUUCUUUUUCUUCGUUGGCGAUACCACUUUAACAUAUUUUUAGACUUGAGCAUCGAUCCGGUCUAGCAAGAACCGAUUUAGAUAGAUUUUGCUGCCACGGUGGGAUUGCCUUUUCUAUCUUAGGCUUGCGGCCUUAUGCCAAGAAUUGGAGUUGGAUAGAAGUUGAGUUUAAAAUGUCAGUUUUGCCUUUUCUCCCCUUAGCAAUGCUUCUAUAGUUAUCAAAUGUAGAAUUGACGUGUCAUUUCAUGACUCUUGAACUCUGUAAUGGUACAUAUAUUUUUUUGUUAUUUUUUGUAGGUCUUACUCUCUUUUGUUUAUUUCUUUAUUUCUUGAUUGAAUAAUUUUUUUCUUUUUCUUUUUUGUUUCUGUAUGGGUAAAUAUUGAAAAUUGUUAUUAAUAUGUGAGGUCUAUAUUAAUUUUAUAAGUAUCAUGAACAUUUUUCUUUUUCUGAUUUUUUGCACCGAAAGGAAUUCAGUCUGAUUUAGAUUUUUGCCCUUAUUUUAACCUUCUAAUUAAAAUUGUGUGUUUUAACUUACUAACCGGAUUUCAUUUGUAUGAUAAGCACUAUUGUUGUGAAUUUUAUAUAUAAGUAUAUAUGUACACCUCUAAAGUUGACCCUUCUUAAGAUUUAAUUGUAUACAACUUUUGAUGGGAUGGGUGUUUAUUGGAUUGAACUCUUCCUAAUUUCUUGGCUAACAAUGAUUAUGAAUUGGUUUUGUGUCAAUUUCAUCACUUGGUUACUUCAUUUGGAAACAUUUUUUGUGUUAGUUCAUUGGAAUUAAGAGGUAACCCUAUUUUAUUAACGUGUGGUCAGUUGAAUUUGAAGUGUCUAUUAACGUUUCAAACCAAUUUAUGAGAUUUGGCAAUGAUAUGUAACUAUCUUUCUAUUAUUCGACUAUAUCCAAAUUCCUUUUGUAAGUUACUAUAUGUUGUUAUUAUUAAAAAUUAUCAUGCUCUUUUGAACUUAUUCAGUUAAUAAACUAAUGGCUAUGGCUUGGAUGAUUUGUUUGACCGUUUUUUAAUGGUGUUCAUCAUGCCUCAAUUCCAAGGAAGCUAUGCUCAGAUCUUCUUGCAGAGGGAGAAAACAUUCCGUCAAGGUAGAAGAAGAAGGGGCAGUAGUUAGAAGUUGGCCAGUGACUCAAUGGUCUUUUGGUGGAAGGGGAAACGGAUCGGCCAAGGCAGAAGAAGAAGGGGGCGACAGUUGAAAGUUGGCUGGUGACUCAUCAAAGGUUAAGAUUGGGCUGGGUUGUCAAAGGAGCUAAUGGUGGUAUGGCUGAUUUGCCUAUGACAUCACUAUU